rnacentral:lncRNA from 1 species
GUUUUAUACUUAUUAUUAAUUUUUCUUGUUGAAAUCUUUUAAAUAUGAGUACUUAUUUAUUAUUUACUAAUAAUUUUGAGUUAAAAAUAUAUAAUAGUUAUAGUAAGAAAGAAAAAUUAUUAUUGUGGAGUGUACGAAAAGUGUCGGUAUCAACACACUUGUCCGACACAAACACACUACCUUAGUUAGAGUGCCUUUGCUACAGAAAGAGGAAGCAAUACGACUUUAAGAUAGUCUUGACGUGACCGGCUAAUGUUUGCUUUCUAACUCUUCUUAUGUUAUUGUUGAACUGAGUUUAUUUUAUUUAUAAUUGAUUAUCUACACAUAAAUCACCUGUUUUCCCCAACAAUCUAAAGUCAUAUUCAUAAUAUUUUGGUGAUUGAGUCUGGAUUUGACCAUUUUGUGCAUAAUAUUUGGGCGAGGAGAAGUAAUACCUGUGGCGAGAGGAUGAGAAGUGAAGUCCUAGGGAAUCAUAAUUCUACAGAUAAGUUUUCUCUUCCAUUCUUCGUCAGAGUGAUAAUUUUGGAUUGAUGAACAUUGUUAAGACAAUUGUUAGCCUGGUUUGUAUCAAUGAUGAAAAAAUGUUGCAUUGAAUUUCUCAAAUAUAUAUGUGCAUAUUUCUUUAGUAUCACAUGGAAUAACUUCCGUAAAAAUUCUUAUGUUGCCACCUAAUGUUGGCAAUUCUGGCCUCUGGGAUUAAGAAUGUAAUGUGAAUUCCUUAAACACCUUUUCAAUUGUUUGAUCAUGGUAUUCAGUCACUAUGUACCAUGAGCUGGUUGAUAUUUACUAAGUUGUUUCACAAAGAAUGUGCUUGGAAUGUUUUAAAAGUCAUUUGACUGGAGCCAUUAUCUUAUUUUGAUGUAUGUCCAACUAUGAAGUUGUGGGAAUCUGCAUUUUGUCAGGACCAAUUGAUAACUUAUAAGCAGAGGCACAUUUAUGUUUUGAUGGAAAUAAAUGGUGGCCUUAGACUAUAGUUGAUGGAUGUUGCAUUAUUCUUUGAAAUGGUUUUCUCUUACCAAGGGCAAAUGAGCUACAGAUUAUGAUAUUUUGGAUUUUGUUAGCAAAAAUGUUUUCUGACCUAUUAAGAAAACUUAGUAACAAAUACAUUAGAUAAAUGCGUGGGUAAUGCAAGUAUAACCUCUUAAUUUUUUGGAAUUUCUUGUUAUGUAUUUAAGAUUUCAGGUGCAUUUAUACAUAUAUGGCAUAGCUAGGUGGAGCAAUAAGCCAUGGCAGAUCACCCUGUUAAGCGUGAAAAUUAUGUUUUCUUGAUAUGUAGCAAAGAAGUUCUCUUCAUCAUGAUGUUAGUACUUUUAGAUGCAUUAACUUUAUGAAAUAGAAAUACUUCUACGAGAUAUGGAACAUAUUAUAUGUGCACACAUUUAUCAUAACAAUUUAUAGUUGUAAAUUUUAGUUUAUGAGAUAGUUCCAUUUUUUGGUAUUCAUAAUAUAUACUAUAAAAUAAAAAACGAUGGAAUAUUUGCUCUUGAUUUGGCUUGUCCAAGUCUUAAAGGAGGCUGGAUGGAUAAUGUGUCCAAG